rnacentral:rRNA from 1 species
AGUUUGAUCCUGGGCUCGAGGACGAACGGCUGGCGGCGUGCCUAAUACAUGCAAGUCGAACGGGAAGAGGUUCUUCGGAACUUCUGAGAGUGGCGCACGGGGUGCGUAACGCGUAUGCAACCAACCCCUUUCCGGGGGACAGCCGGUGGAAACGCCGGGUAAUACCCCAUGUUGACAUAAGAGGACAUCCUCCUGUGUUGAAAGACCUCGGUCGGAGAGGGACGGGCAUGCGUCCCAUUAGCUGGUUGGCGGGGCAACGGCCCACCAAGGCGACGAUGGGUAGGGGAUCUGAGAGGACCGGUCCCCACACUGGUACUGAGACACGGACCAGACUCCUACGGGAGGCAGCAGUAAGGAAUAUUGGGCAAUGGGGGAACCCUGACCCAGCCAUGCCGCGUGAGGGAUGUAGGCCCUACGGGUCGUGAACCUCUUUGUUCGGGGACAAGGACGCCCACGCGAUGGGUGUUUGCGGGUACCGGACGAAUAAGCAUCGGCUAACUCCGUGCC